UACGAAGGGGGCUAGCGUUGUUCGGAUUUACUGGGCGUAAAGCGCACGUAGGCGGCUUGUUAAGUCAGGGGUGAAAUCCUGGAGCUCAACUCCAGAACUGCCUUUGAUACUGGCAAUCUCGAGUCCGGAAGAGGUGAGUGGAACUCCUAGUGUAGAGGUGGAAUUCGUAGAUAUUAGGAAGAACACCAGUGGCGAAGGCGGCUCACUGGUCCGGUACUGACGCUGAGGUGCGAAAGCGUGGGGAGCAAACAGG
rnacentral:rRNA from 1 species